rnacentral:rRNA from 1 species
GAUGAACGCUGGCGGCGUGCCUAAUACAUGCAAGUCGAGCGAACAGACGAGGAGCUUGCUCCUCUGACGUUAGCGGCGGACGGGUGAGUAACACGUGGAUAACCUACCUAUAAGACUGGGAUAACUUCGGGAAACCGGAGCUAAUACCGGAUAAUAUAUUGAACCGCAUGGUUCAAUAGUGAAAUACGGUUUUGCUGUCACUUAUAGAUGGAUCCGCGCCGCAUUAGCUAGUUGGUAAGGUAACGGCUUACCAAGGCAACGAUGCGUAGCCGACCUGAGAGGGUGAUCGGCCACACUGGAACUGAGCCACGGUCAAGACUCCUACGGGAGGCAGCAGUAGGGAAUCUUCCGCAAUGGGCGAAAGCUUGACGGAGCAACGCCGCGUGAGUGAUAAAGGUCUUCGGAUCGUAAAACUCUGUUAUUAGGGAAGAACAAAUGUGUAAGUAACUAUGCACGUCUUGACGGUACCUAAUCAGAAAGCCACGGCUAACUACGUG